GGAAACUCCAAAGUUUUGAUCUACUGCCUGAAGAAGAGUAUGGAGGUAAGACAGUGCUGCAUUCUCCAUUUUUAAAUUUACUAAUCCUACAUUCUCCUUAUUUUUUUGAAUCUUUCAAAAUGAGAACAUUGACAAGAAUUAUGUAGUCACCUUAAUUUUUGAACACUAUUAUAGGCACAUAUAGCUCAGCUCAACUGCAGGUAUACGUCAUAUAGAUAACUAUUGCUGAAACUAUGUACUUAUUUAUCUAAUUUAAUUCGAACAUCCUUUUUGCCAGAUAUCCUUUGUCGCUCACUAGUACAUUGGUGUCGAGGGUAUCAACAAGGGGUACCCUCACCGAUGCGUAUAACGAGACCAUCCGUACAUAAAACUAGUUCCUCGAUUCGACGCUCCGUCUGCACGUACGCGCGGCCAUCGACGGCCGUAGCCUCGAAGACGGAAAUAGCGUCGAGCGAAUCAAUCGGGCGUCGAGCUCUGGUUACCGUCGAAUACGGAACAGGCUCAUGCGAAUCGGGAGGCGUCGAGCGCAAGGACGCCGCCGCCGCCGCCUGACACGCGCAUGCGAGCCGGGGCAUUAAAUGCGCCUGGUGCUCCCCCACCUAACACAUGGGUCACGGGAGGCGUGAUAGGGAACACGCAUCCGUCCCAUCGAUCUUUUUGCAGCCUUCCCCACCAAACGGCGCAGGGCGUGUCAGGACGUGGGAAACAGAGAGGGCGCGUCUAAUCAAGACCCCCUCGAGGUAGCCAAGGUCAGCGCUUCAACAUCAGGACGCCGUACGACAUCCGACCCUCGACCAGACAAGGAUCCUUCCAGGGGACGAGUCGGGUGUCGACUGACUACAUCCCAACCACUCCACCGGAUUUGCCGCCAAAACGUACAAGCAUACAUCCGUCGAACCAAUCCAAGACGGCGCGCAGAGCAGAAUGCAGGGGCACGCGUAAUCAUCACCAGGCUAUUAGGACGGGACGGCUCGAGGCCAUGCCGGUACGGAAGCCUCGAGUAGGUCAGCGCACCAUACUGCUAUCGACUCCUAUUCUGACGCCUAUAUGUGUACCCUGGAUCUCUCCUUGGAACUAUAAAAGGAGGGACUCAGGAAUAGAAGAGGACACCACGCUCACACGUAGUAGAGCUCCACACUUCAUACCGCACUUGUAUUCACCCCUGUACAAGCACUUAGGUGCAAGAUAAUACAAACUCUCUCCCCCCCCGCUGGACGUAGGGCCUUCUCUUGCCCGAACCAGGAUAAAUCUUUGUGUCUUCUUGCAUCACCAUCUGGGAAAGGGAGCACUCAUACAAAUUUACUCGUUGGUGUGACCCCCCGAGGGGAAAACACCGACAGUUGGCGCGCCAGGUAGGGGUCCUGCGUGUUUUUCAUCGAUUUCCCACUCCUUUCCGGAUGGCCACUCUUGUCUCGCCGUUUCCGCGCUCCACGGUGAUUUGGUUUGGGAGUCUCGAGUUCAUGUCUACGGGCUCCGGCUACGACAUGAUCUUACUCUCAGUCAAAGGACCAGGAGGAGCCCGCGUUACGCCAGCACGGUUGAAGGCCCCGAGACGAUCUCACCACCACGCCUCCCCGCCUAAGAAGAGGCGCGGACAGCACCACCGCGGCCCCUCUGCUUCAGCACGACCAACAACUCGUGCGAGGCAGGACGUGGGCCACAAGUCGGCAGCACCGUGUGGCGGAGUAACAAGCGCGACGACUCAGCACCGCGCAACGACGGGAGGAGACGCGUCUCGCGCGCUCUCCCCCACCGCUGCUAGGCUACUUCCACACGGGUUGUUCACUCCAAGAGCGGCACUGCCGUUCGGAUUGGACAACGCCGCGGCGUCGCUCGCCAGGGCGAUAUGCCCAAGCGCCCAGACGUACGUAGAAAGACCAAUGGUCCUCCCACGUGGCUCUGAAGCGCGACGGCCGGCGUCCGAGCUGCCGGACCUUUCCCGGGUACGAGGCCUCCGUCGUCUAGGCCCCAGACGAUACACGAUCACCUCCCUCAGGCAGCGAUUGCUAGAGGAGGGACGUGGGUGUUUCCACGCCGCCAAACCAGACUCCGACUCCGAGACUGAUAGCUAUGACCUAACGAGGGAAUGCUAUCACAUCGACGGGGCGGUAGAAACUACCGACGAGACACGGGAUGCUGCUGCGGGCGGUCGAGCCCCAGCGGCACGAGAAGCCCCCAGGACGCCUGGGAACGACGGACAGGUCGACCCCCCCCCCCACAGGAAGACAGAACCGCGCAGCUCGCGCAGCUGCGGGAGCUCAAGAUGAAGCUCGACGAAGACCGCGAGCGCCUCGUCCUGCUCGAGCAAAUCCUCGAGCAAGACCUACCCUACCCGCCGGGCAGAAGUGUCCGCAGACGCGCUCGAGAGGUACAUCGUCAGAUCGUCGGCGACGCAGAGCCAGAGCAACCUGUCAGCCGUUUCCCUCGAGCAGGCCAGAAUGUAGUGGCAGCGACGAUGUUGCUGCGUAACAUGCCAGAGCCGUCGAAUUCCCAGGCCUGACGCAUUUGAGAUGAGGUACAGACAUUGCUCCAGGUGGCGGCGCUUCAACAAGCCGAAAGUUCGGAAUCUCGACGACGAGGAGCUGCCACAGAGAAGCGCGACGAACAGCCUCAAAACGAAAAGGAGGUGUCAGUCCAUCAACAACCUCCCCCUCGAGGCAGAAAGACCGCUCUCAUCCUCCCCGUCGACAAUCAGCGUCGACACGAUGCGCGGCACGACAUCGAAGAAAAUCGACGCCGCCGGCACGGAGACGCGGAAGAGCGCGGUUACAGCGCGCAUCGCGGCGGGAGAUACGACAGCGACGAGGACCGGGUGGCCCCCGAGCCACCGGGCCCACGGGUGUUCAGCAGGGCGAUCCGCAGCACGCCCCUGCCCAAUCCAUUUCGACCCCCGACCAGCAUCGCGAAGUACAAUGGAGAGACCAAGCCAGAGUUAUGGCUGGCCGAUUUCAGGCUGGCCUGUCAGCUAGGUGGCGCUCGAGGUGAUGAUCGAGCCAUCAUCAGACAGCUACCCCUUUUCCUCUCCGACACCACCCGUCGAUGGCUCGAGGAACUCCCUGCCGAUCAGAUCCACAACUAGGUUGAUCUGGUCAGAGUCUUCGAGGGUAACUUCAAAGGGACCUACAUACAGCCAGGGAACUCGUGGGACCUUAGCAAAUGCAAGCAGAAGUCAGGAGAAACUCUUUGGGAGUAUGCUCGACGCUUCUCGAAGCAGCGCACUGAGCUGCCGCACAUCCCUGACCACGACGUCAUCUUGGCGUUUGUCUCGGGCACCACCAGUCGAGACUUGGUGCGGGAAUUAGGUCGCAAUCGACCUCAGACCGUCGACGAGCUGAUGGACGUAGUAGCCAACUACGCGGCAGGGGAGGAGGCAGUCGGCGCCUUCUUCAGCUCAGAAGGAAGAAAAGGCAAGCAGCCCAUCGAUGAAGAUGGGACCCCCAGUCGAGGCCUCAAGAAAAAUAAAAAGAAGCAGAAAGUGUGGCAGUUCCACCAGGAGGAUUCCGAUGACAACCUUGUCGCCGCCAUGGAUCGAAAGAAACCUCGAGGCCCUCCGGAUGGAGGCAUCUUUGACAAGAUGUUGGAGGAGCCGUGCCCUUACCAUAAGGGAGGCGCCAACCAUAAGCUCAAGGACUGUCGUAUGCUGAGAAAGCAUUUCGACGGUCUGGGGUUCAAAAAAGAUGCGCGUGACGACUCCAAGAAAGAGAAGGGUGGCAGCAAGGAGGACAACAAAGAUGACGACGGCUUCCCCGCCGUCCACGAUUGCUACAUGAUCUAUGGCGGGCCCUCGACUCAAUUGACCACGAGGCAGCGCAAAAGGGAGCGUCGCAAAGUCUUUGCAGCAAGAAUGGCGGUGCCCCAAUACCUUAGCUGGUCAAGCACUCCUAUCACUUUCAACCGAGAAGACCACCCCGACAAGGUAGUCGCCCCAGGUGUCUACCCGCUCGUCGUCGACCCCAUCAUCGUCAACACCCGGCUCUCGAAAGUGCUGAUGGAUGGCGGCAGCAGCCUCAACAUCAUCUACCUCAAGACCCUCGACCUCCUCGGCAUAGAUAGAGGGAAGCUCCAACCAAGUGCCGGCGGUUUCCAUAGCGUCGUGCCAGGAAAAAAGGCGCUGCCAGUAGGUCGAAUUGACUUACCCGUCUGCUUCGGCACGGCGGCCAACUUCAGGAAGGAGACCCUCACCUUUGAGGUAGUUGGGUUCCGAGGCACAUACCACGCCAUCAUCGGGCGCCCGGGCUACGCCAAGUUCAUGGCUAUACCCAACUACACCUACUUGAAGCUGAAGAUGCCCGGUCCCAAAGGCGUCAUCACUGUCAGUUCCUCCUUCGAGCACGCGUACGAGUGCGACGUCGAGUGCGUCGAGUACGGGGAGGCGGUCGAGAGCUCCACCGAGCUCGUCGCGAAGCUCGAAGCCCUGGCCGCUGAGGCUCCGGAGCCUAAGCGCCACGCGGGCAGCUUCGAGGCGGCGGAAGGAACCAAGAAGAUCCCGCUCGACCCCAACAACUCCGACGGCAAAGUGCUGACGAUCAGCACCGACCUCGACCCCAAAUAGGAAGCUGUGCUCGUCGACUUUCUCCGUGCAAAUGCCGACAUGUUUGCAUGGAGUCCCUCGGACAUGCCAGGCAUACCGAGGGAAGUCGCCGAGCACUCCUUGGAGAUUCGAGCCGGUUCCAAGCCAGUGAAGCAGCGGUUGCACCGAUUCGAUGAGGAGAAGCGCAAGAUCAUUGGCGAGGAAAUCCACAAGCUUUUGACGGCCGGAUUCAUCAAGGAGGUUCAUCAUCCCGACUGGUUAGCAAACCCUGUAUUAGUUAAGAAAAAGAAUGGGAAAAUGAGGAUGUGUGUCGAUUAUACUAGUCUGAAUAAAGCAUGUCCAAAAGUUCCUUUUCCAUUGCCACGUAUUGAUCAGAUUGUCGAUUCUACCGCGGGAUGUGAAACCCUUUCUUUCCUCGAUGCAUAUUCUGGUUACCACCAAAUAAAAAUGAAGGAGUCCGACCAGCUCGCGACCUCUUUCAUCACACCUUUUGGGAUGUAUUGCUACGUGACCAUUCCAUUUGGGCUUCGAAAGGCGGGAGCCACGUACCAACGUUGCAUGCUCCACGUAUUUGGCGAACAUAUAGGGUCAACGGUCGAGGCCUACGUCAAUGACAUUGUCGUCAAGUCAAAGCGACGAGGAGACCUGAUCCAGGACCUCGAGAUUGCCUUUAGCUGUCUACGCGCCAACCGGAUCAAGCUCAAUCCCGAGAAGUGCGUUUUCGGUGUGCCUCGAGGCAUGCUCCUAGCCUACAUCGUUUCGCAGCGCGGCAUCGAGGCCAACCCCGAGAAAGUCUCGGCCAUCACGAGAAUGGGGCCGAUCCGAGACAUCAAGGGUGUGCAGAGAGUCACGGGAUGCCUGGCGGCUCUGAGCCGUUUCAUCUCGAGACUAGGAGAAAAGGCAUUACCAUUAUAUCGACUCCUGAAGAAGGUCGAGCGCUUUUCUUGGACCCCCGAGGCCGAGGAAGCACUCGAAAGGCUGAAGAAGAUGCUGACCUCGGCACCAGUCCUGGUUCCACCUCAACCUGUAGAGCCGCUGCUCCUCUACGUCGCGUCGACGACCCAGGUCGUCAGCGCGGCGGUGGUGGUCGAGAGGCAGGAGGAGGGACAUGCGCUACCAGUUCAGAGGUCAGUAUAUUUCGUCAGCGAGGUGCUUUCGGAGACCAAAGCACGUUAUCCCCAAAUCCAGAAGCUGAUUUAUGCCGUAAUCCUUGCCCGUCGUAAGCUGCAGCACUACUUCCUUGGCCACCCCAUCACGGUGGUCUCGUCUUUUCCUUUAGGCGAAAUAAUCCAGAGCAAAGAGGCCACGGGAAGAAUAGCAAAAUGGUCGGUCGAGCUCAUGAGUGAGACUCUCACUUAUGCGCCUCGCAAGGCCAUCAAAUCGCAGGCCCUGGUAGACUUCGUCGCAGAAUGGACGGACACCCAGCUCCCCCCGACCUAGGUCCAGGCGGAACUAUGGACGAUGUAUUUCGAUGGGUCGCUCAUGAAAACUGGGGCCGGAGCCGGCCUGCUGUUCAUCUCACCCUUGGGCGUCCACAUGAGGUACGUAAUCAGGAUUCAUUUUGCCGCAUCUAACAAUGUCGCAGAAUAUGAGGCCCUCGUCAACGGUCUCAAGAUCGCUAUCGAGUUAGGAGUCCGACGCCUCGACGUCCGAGGUGACUCCCAACUCGUCAUCGACCAAGUAAUGAAAACCUCGAGCUGCCAUGACCCAAAAAUGGAAGCGUACUGCAAAGAAGUCCGUCGACUCGAGGACAGGUUCCACGGUCUCGAGCUUGUCCAUAUCGCUCGACGCUACAAUGAGGCAGCCGACGAACUCGCCAAGAUCGCAUCGACCAGAGGCACGGUGCCGCCUGAUGCAUUCUCAAAAGAUCUUCACGAGCCAUCCGUCGACCUAGGCACGGGGGCUGGCAUCGACGCCACCACCGCCCAACCAACCAAUGCUGUCGAUACGCUCUUGAUGGUGGAAGAGGUGAUGGAGAUAGAACGACGACCAGGUCGACCGUUCGAUUGGCGCACGCCGUUCCUCGACUGCCUCAUCCGCGGCGAGUUGCCAGAAGACCGGUCAGAGGCUCGUCGUAUCGCUCGACGGGCCAAAUCAUAUGUGAUCUAUGGCGAAGACAAUGAGCUAUAUCGACGGAGCCCGACGGGGGUCUUACAACGUUGCAUCACCGUGGAAGAAGGCCGAAAACUCCUCGAUGACCUGCACUCGGGGGCUUGCGGUCACCACGCCGCUCCACGGACCCUUGUAGGGAAUGCUUUUCGACAAGGCUUCUACUGGCCAACGGCCGUGGCGGACGCCAUCGAGCUCGUACGCUCGUGUCAUGGGUGCCAGUUCUACGCCAAGCAGACGCAUCUGCCCACCCACGCUCUUCAGAUGAUACCCAUCACCUGGCCGUUUGCGGUGUGGGGGCUCGAUUUAGUAGGACCUCUACAAAAGGCGAAAGGAGGAUACACCCAUUUGCUGGUGGCCAUUGACAAGUUCUCCAAAUGGAUCGAGGCUCGACCCAUCACCAACAUCCGCUCUGAGCAGGCCGUCCUCUUCUUCACCGACAUCAUCCAUCGGUUUGGGAUCCCCAAUGUCAUCAUCACCGACAACGGCACCCAGUUCACCGGCAAAAAGUUCUUGGACUUCUGCGAUCAGCAUCACAUCCGUGUGAACUGGUCUGCAGUAGCCCACCCUCGAACUAACGGCCAGGUCGAGCGUGCCAACGGCAUUAUUUUGCAAGGACUCAAGCCAAGGAUCUACAAUCGAUUGAAGAAAUUCGGCAAGAAAUGGGUCGAGGAGCUUUCCUCAGUCCUAUGGAGCCUUAGGACAACACCGAGCAGGGCCACAAAAUACACCCCGUUCUUCAUGGUCUACGGCUCUGAGGCUAUCCUCCCCACAGACCUCGAGUAUGGGUCACCUCGACUCAAGGCCUACAACGAGCAAUCGAACAAAGAGACUCAAGAAAACGCGGUCGACCAACUUGAGGAGGCUCGAGACAUGGCCCUCCUCAACUCUGCCAGAUAUCAGCAAAAGCUUCGACGCUACCACGACAAGCAUGUGCGCAAGAGGGACCUCAACGUGGGCGACCUAGUCCUAUGACGCCGGCAAAGCAAUCAAGGACGCCACAAGCUGACUCCGCCUUGGGAAGGCCCGUACGUGGUGGCCGAGGUCCUGAAGCCGGGAACGUACAAGCUGGCGGACGAAAAGGGGGCAAUCUUCACCAACGCAUGGAACAUCGAACAGCUACGUCGAUUCUACCCCUAGAAGUUCUAAACUUAUGUUCCUGCUUACGUUUUGUACCAAGACUUUGUAAACGAACGAAUGAAUAAAUAAAGUCCUUCCCUCGAAGCAAUUCUUUUUUGUGCCGAGAAGAUUCAUAAGUCACGAUCUCGACGUUAAAAGGGGGCGCCGACUAUGACCAAUCAUAGUCAGCACCCCCUCGGGGGCUACCAGGGGGACGACCCCCCCCAAACGUCGAAAAAACCUUGCACGGUUCAAGUAGCUAAGGCACCUUGAGCCCCUCAAAGGCCGAGGGACAACGAGCUGAAGAACUCCUACGCCCCCGGGCUACGGAAACUCUACUCACUUCCUCACCAUUGAAGUGGUCGACGUGGUUUUUCACAAAAGAUCGAGCGAGGGAUACAAACGUAAGCGCAAAGAGAAACAAAAGCAUCGAGCGGAAAGACAAAAUAAGCAUUUAACAAUUACGAAAAAGAUACUAUACCAGUUAGCCACAGAAUUAACGAAGUAUCAUACAAGGGGCCUCAGGCGCCCUGAGCAGGCUCGCAGGCCUCAGUCCGUGGCACGAUCCUCAUCGCCCUCGCCUCCGCCCAAGCUAACCUCAGGAGGGAGCACCUCAGGCUCAAAAAGUUUAGCCAACCUUUCCCCAGGAGCCUCCGCGUCGUCGAUCAAGGCAUGGAGCCUCUCCUCGUUCUCCGCGUCGGUCUUGGAGAUGUCGGUGACAAAGCCAUGAGACACCACCUCCAUGUCGUAGGAGAAGCCCGAACAGACAACCGCCAUCGCCCGCUUCACCCCGAUGUGGAGGGCAUCCCGCACCCGAUUUCGCAGCGUCGCGCCUAUGUAGCACAGCUGGUCGACCAGGGCGUCGCCUCGAGCGUCCUCCCUCGACUCAUCCAUAGGCUCGACCUCCCAAGAGGUCGAGAGAUCACUUAUCGCCGUCCGAACUCGACGGUUCAAAGCAACCUCCGCCUCGAGUUGAGCCUUGGCGUCGCGAGCCUCGGUUUGGACGGCCAAAAGUUCGCCCUUGAGCCCUGCAAAGGCCAAUACAAAGAAAACCUUAGGAAAAACCAAGCACACCUCGGAAAAAGAAGUCUGAUAGAGGAAACAUACCGCGUAUAGUCUCCUCGAGGGUCGUGUUCUCGCCGACCAGCCUGGUGUUGGCCCCCUCGAUCUCUUUGUUGGAGCGUGCCAGCUCGGUGUUGGCAACAUGGAGAUCCUCGAUCGCCUUGCCAGCCUGAACAAUGGCCCCACUCUUCUCCAGCAAUUCUCCCUUCAAACGCUCGACGUCGUUAGAAAGACUGCGGGAUCGAGCCCGCUCCGCCUCGAGAUCUUCAAGGGCCUUCUUCUUGGCUUCCUCUGCGGCGCCCCUGGCGACCUCGCCGUUCACAUGCUCCACCUUCAUCUUACGGAAGGACUCUCGGACAGAGUCCAGGUCAGAUUUAAGGAGGCCCUUCUCCUUGUCCAGAUCCGAGACAACGCUCUUGUAGGACAGGGCCUCCUCCCGGGCUCUGGACGCGGCCUCCUCGACCGUAAGAGCCCGCUCCCGUAGCUGCAUCAUCUCCUCCUCCGCCUUCUUCGAGGCCUCUCGGGCCUCGGCCAAGGCAGCCUCCCUCGCCUUCUUCUCCUCCUCGAGUGCUAUGAGAUCUUUGUAAGCUUUAAGGAGCUUUUCCUGCGACUCGAGGAGUUGAUCCUUGAGGAGGGGGAGCUGCCCCAAACCGCCCCUCGUGGCGUGUAUGAAACUGGACUUGAUGCGGGAGGUCUCUUUCAUAUCCUGCGAAUCAAGGGUCGGGUGGAUUAGAAUACAGAAACCAGAAAGCACCAUGAGGAUUGAAGUUCGAGAAACACUUACGAAAUAAGCCGGGCCGAGCCCGUUGUUGAUAACGUCCGAGAGGAGCCCCACCACAUGCUUCAUCCAAAGGCAGAGCUCCUCAACGUGUUCCCACUUCUCUGCCUCCUUCCGAUCGUCGAGGAAGAUGUCGGGCUCAGACGGGUCGUGGGAGGCCCGGAUACGGAUGCGAUCGGGGCACUAGUGCUCCAUCUCCCGGUCAGCCCGCGCCUUAACGCCGCGGAUGAGGUCCUCGACGGUCUCGAGGGAGCCCCCAUGGCGCAGGAACAGGUCGACGAGGCAUGGGAACCGUCCGUCGUCGUCCACCGUCUUCCAGGUUCCGUCCUUUGUCCCCGAUGCCCCAAUUUCAUCCUCCUCGGAAGGAAAGCGGUCUUCCCACGCCCGACGUUCCCGGAGGAACCCUGGGGCGAUCCCGUCCAUGCCGUAAAUUGUCCUCUUGAUCUCGGACUCGGGGUCGGGGGGGUGCGCUUCAGGCAGGUGAGCGCCACCACUCCAUCCGCUCACCCCGGCUCUGCCCGGAUCACGGCAGGUGCCCCCGGGAGGAGCCACGCCGGGGUUGGGGGGCCGUACACCGGCAGGUCCUCCUCCUGCUCGCCGAGCUCUUGCGGCUCUGGUGGCACUGGCUGGGCCGGACCUUGGGGCGGAGGCUCGAGCGGUCCCUCCUCUUGGCCCCCCUGCUGCUGCUGCUGUUGCUGCUGCGGGGGUUGCUGCUGCGGUUGCUGCUGCGGUUGUUGCUGUUGCUGAUGCUGCGGUGGUUGCUGUUGCUGCUGCUGCUGUUGUUGUUGCUGCUGUUGCUGUGCCUCGUGCUCCUGUGGCUGGCGCGCCGCCUCGCGCGCCCGCUGUUCAUCCUCCCCCCUCUUCUUUUUCUGCUCCUCGAGGGUGCGGAGGCCGGCGGGCCAGGGAGUUGAUCCCUCGACAUGAGGGGUCGACGUUUCCUCCUCCAUGGUGCGGGCACCCCCAGACGCUCUGUCACCAUCAGACGUGUCGCUGAUGGUGAUGGGUUCCCCCUCGACCCCCAAUAAAGGAGGCUCGGGGGCUCCCUCUGACGUUUGCGUCUGGGGCGCCUCACCAACAGUCGACGGUGACGGAGUAGGAACGGGACGAGCCGGAGCCCUCUCGACGUCGGCUGGAGGUUGAGAGUCGGAGGAGCCUACAAAGCGAAGGGUAAGGGCCAGACGAUACAGUAACCGACACAAGGACGUCACAAGGCCCAGAAGUAAACUACGAACCCGGUUCCUUGGAGGCGGCUCCCGUUUUGAGCCUCUUUGCCAUAGAUGGCUGGGCCUGCUCGAGGGUCCGCUUCAGCCUGAGAAAAGAUCGGUAUAUGAGAAAAGAUCGGCAGAAGAACAGGAAGACAGAGGCCACAACAUUGAAAGGGCUUACCCCACAGGAAGAAUAGCUCGCCUCCCGCCGUCCCGACCGGUGGGCCUCGAGCCUCCCCGCGUCAGGGCUCCAGGCCCCUCGAGGGCAGGCGCUAGCCUAGGCGCAUCCGUUCCCGCUUGGCGGGCGCCGGGACUGGCACUCCUGCGGCCGGCCUCUCCUUUCUCGGAGGCCGCGGCACGACCGCGGGUCAGUGGCCCCGUCGCCUGGGGCCUAGCAUGAUCGCUCUCCCUGGGCGCCGGGGGAGGGCGCGGCGCAACUUGACUAACCUUGGGCGCGGGAGGGGUAUCGGCGCGAGGACGGAGGGAUCCGCCUGGGCCCCCCGUCGAAGCUUCCGCCCGAGGAGCGUCGACAUCGCCUUGAGAUGGACCCCCGAGGAUCCGGUCAAGACGAGACGCCAUCCCCUCGGAGUCCUCACUAUCCUCAUCGUCGUCGUCGUCCUUCUCGCUGGGGGAUUCUUCCUCAGGCUCUCCCCUCUGCCUGGAUUUGGACCGGCGCGCUUCUAAGGCUUGACGGUCAAGGUUUUUCUUCUUCUCCCCCUUCUUCUUAGAGUCCUUGACGGACUUCAAUUUCUCGGCGGAACGGCGCCGCGCGUCGCGGUCGACUUCAUCCUCCCUCACCGGGGGCCUCGAGGAUCGAACGUCGAUCCGCCCCUGCCGCAGUAAAAGUAGAAUCAGGAAAAAGGGGUGGAAAAAGAACCCAGAGUCAAGGUUACCAAGAGGAAGAAAACAUACCAGAUCGACCGAGCCUUCAUCAGGCCUCAUAGGGAAGCCGUUGACGUGCAGCGACUUGAAAUCGCCGGCGAUGGCCGCCCUGACCCGGGCGGCGACCUCAUCGUCCGCCAAAGCCAUGUUGGACAUCCGGCAAGCCUCGAGAUCCCGGGACGAGACGCCCGGCCCCAUUUCGUCCAUCCUCAGCGGCCGAGACAUCAGGGGAAGGACUCUCCGACGAUGGACGGCCGAGAGGACAAGAGCGGCGGACAGGCCCUCCAGGCGCAGCUUCUUCAUAGCGUCGAGGAGGGGGUCGAGCCGCGACUGGUGCUCCUGGACGACGCCGUACGUCCAGUUGUCUGGGCGCUCCGAGAUCAGACGGCCCGUGUAGGCGGGGAAGAGACUGUCAUCGUUUCUCAGAUAGAACCACUGGGAGUCCCACCCAGCAUGGUUCGACGACAGCCCCACCGGGAUGUACUCACGCGGCCUCUCCGUCUUCUUCGUCUUCAACACCAGGUUGAGGCACCCGGCCCGCACGGGUUUCCUCACGCCGGUGGUUCCGGUGGGGGCGUUGAAAAGUUCGCCCCUGUAGAGGUGGAGCCAUAGAUCCCAAUGGGGCAUCAUCCCCAGAUAGCCCUCACACACCGCGGCGAAGACCGCCGCGACGGUGAUGGCGUUCGGGGAAAAAUGCUGGAGCUCCACCCCAUAGUGGAAGCAGAGGGCCCGCAUAAAGCGACUCGGGGGAGCGCCCAGGCCAUGGCGGUGGAAUUUGGCGAAUGACACCACAUAGCCCUCGGGUGGCUGGGGCUCCCUGUGACUCGCCGGCGGCGCGAUCCAUUCCGGCGAAGACUGCGAGGUGCGGCGGCGCAAGAGCCCUUCAUUCUCGAGCUCUAGCAGACGGCGGUCCGACAUCAACGACGGACGCCAGUCGUCGGCGGCAACAAGCCUCACAGGCAUCUUGGUUGGAAGGAUGGUGGAUUCGCUACCGCUCGAGGGGAUGCACGCGCGCAUGAAGAAAGCAAGAGAGCAAAGGCAGCAAGAAGAUGAAGGCGAGAAGACGGAAGAGGAGAGAAAGAAUGGAGCAACGCCACGGCGUAUUUAUAGAUAGCGGCCAACCAACGGAUGGAUCUGAUAAAUGAGGUAACUCCCCCCAUAAAUGCGCCGUCUAACGGUCCUUUCUCUCCUCACAGGCCGGACGCUCCGAAUUCCCCGCCGAUACAGUGUCGCAACGUCACUUACCUCAAAAGGUGCGCCCAACGGGCAGAAAGACGAACCGGCACAGCAGCUUCCUUGCUUCGUAAGCCAAGGUACGUGCCCUCAACAGUCUCGAGAGGUCGAUGGCUGGCCCGUCGAAAGGGUUCGACAGCCGAUCUCGAGCACCAAGAGUCAGGGAUCCCCAGCGAGCGGUCGAAAAUCGAGGCCCGCCUCGAAGACUCGCUGGCGAUGUCCAAGGUAGGGUCGAGACAGUCGAGAGGAAUCCCCCCGGCGGGAGGCAUCGAGCCGCUGGACUCUAUCGAAUGAGACCGGUACCCCCGACCACGUCGACCCUGCUUUAUGAGGACGCCUCCGGGCUACAGCUGACCCCCUCGAAAGGGGCACAGGUUCUCACUUGGACUACCCGAUAGGAACUCAAUCUGGGGUGGAAGACGCUCGCUCUAUCGAGAGUACGUCGAAACCUCCUCGCAAGGCAAAGCCGAUCAGAACCUUCCACCACUGGUGUCGACAAUGUCUAUGCAAAUUAGGCAAAAAUAACCCUCGAAGGAGUUAAAUACUCCCUCGAGGGCUCGGGGGCUACCCCCGCGGGGUCGCUCGCGCGCCCCCACGGAACCUCGACUGUAAAAAUAAAAGUCUCCACCCGAGCGCCAGCGCUCAAAUGGAAACUCGGGGGCUACUGUCGAGGGUAUCAACAAGGGGUACCCUCACCGAUGCGUAUAACGAGACCAUCCGUACAUAAAACUAGUUCCUCGAUUCGACGCUCUGUCUGCACGUACGCGCGGCCAUCGACGGCCGUAGCCUCGAAGAUGGAAAUAGCGUCGAGCGAAUCAAUCGGGCGUCGAGCUCUGGUUACCGUCGAAUACGGAACAGGCUCAUGCGAAUCGGGAGGCGUCGAGCGCAAGGACGCCGCCGCCGCCUGACGCGCGCACGCGAGCCGGGGCAUUAAAUGCGCCUGGUGCUCCCCCACCUAACACAUGGGUCACGGGAGGCGUGAUAGGGAACAGGCAUCCGUCCCAUCGAUCUUUUUGCAGCCUUCCCCACCAAACGGCGCAGGGCGUGUCAGGACGUGGGAAACAGAGAGGGCGCGUCUAAUCAAGACCCCCUCGAGGUAGCCAAGGUCAGCGCUUCAACAUCAGGACGCCGUACGACAUCCGACCCUCGACCAGACAAGGAUCCUUCCAGGGGACGAGUCGGGUGUCGACUGACUACAUCCCAACCACUCCGCCGGAUUUGCCGCCAAAACGUACAAGCAUACAUCCGUCGAACCAAUCCAAGACGGCGCGCAGAGCAGAAUGCAGGGGCACGCGUAAUCAUCACCAGGCUAUUAGGACGGGACGGCUCGAGGCCAUGCCGGUACAGAAGCCUCGAGUAGGUCAGCGCACCAUACUGCUAUCGACUCCUAUUCUGACGCCUAUACGUGUACCCUGGAUCUCUCCUUGGAACUAUAAAAGGAGGGACUCAGGAAUAGAAGAGGACACCACGCUCACACGUAGUAGAGCUCCACACUUCAUACCGCACUUGUAUUCACCCCUGUACAAGCACUUAGGUGCAAGAUAAUACAAACUCUCUCCCCCCCGCUGGACGUAGGGCCUUCUCUUGCUCGAACCAGGAUAAAUCUUUGUGUCUUCUUGCAUCACCAUCUGGGAAAGGGAGCACGCAUACAAAUUUACUCGUUGGUGUGACCCCCCGAGGGGAAAACACCGACAAUUGGCACACUAUACAGGCGGUUGGUAACAUAUUUCUACAGGCGUUUUUCGGAUCCGCCUGCGCUGGAGGUCAGUAGAAAUCGUCAAUUUCCACAGGCGGUCGCUUGAGAGCCGCCAGUAGAAAUAUUUUACAUAGGUGGCUCUCUUAUGGAACCGCCUGUGUAAAUGUUCAUUUACACAGGCGGUUCCCUAAGAGAGCCGCAUGUGUAAACCUAUUAAAAUAUGUAUUAUUUAUUUAUUUUUUAAUUAAUUUAUUUAUUUAUUUAUUACUUUAUUGUUAUUAUUUAAAUAUAUUGAUAUUGGUUGGUCUUCUAACAUAGCAACAUGUAAUUUAAAUACUUCAUCUCAUACAUACAUUUGUAUACAUCAAAGUUUGGUGCUCAAAGACAUAAAGUUAAUUACAAGAGUAUAUCCAUCAUCACACAUCAUAUAUAUAUACAUCAAAGUUUGUUUCUGUCCUCUAAUAACCCUCUUUAGUAAGUUUGAGCUUACUAAUCUCUGUUAGCACUCGGAACUGUGGCCUGGAUAAUUGACUUUCAUCAUCAUGAUAUUUGCCUUCACGUGGAAUGACAUGCUUCAUGAUGAACGAGCAGAUGUCCUCAACUAUGUUUUCUAAAGCACGUUCGUCCAUGCGCUCCGCCGUCCCUUGCUUAUAUACCUGCAAAGAAAGUUUAUAAACAUUAUAUAUUUUAUGACUUCCAACUUUAAUAGACUAUUACUUAUAUUACCUUGUCAGGGUUCCUUGCAUAUCGUCCGUUUUCUCUCAUGUUCUCGCACACGUAGUAGCCACAGAGGACAGAUAACGGUGGUUGCUUCAUGCACUGUAUAACAGGAGAGUGGCUAUUUAAUUAUAGUUGCAACUGUGGUCGUAUGUGUAUGAUUUGUAUUCAUAAUAGUAAACUUUUAUACGUACCGGCCAGUUAUGUAUAACCUCCAAUGGUUGCCCUGGUCUCUUAGACUCGCACUUUCCAUGAUUUAUCUUAUAGAACCUGUAUGCCCUAUGAUCUCAAAUAGAAUCACCAUGUUAUUGUCAAAUUCUCACUAUGCUUAAGUAUGCAUGCAUAGCUUGACUUACAGCUCUAGCAGUUUGAUGAAUGGAGCAUAGCUUUCUUUUGGGUAAUCUGCGGAGUCUAGUACCAACACCCUUCCCUCCUUGGGAUAAAUGAUGAAGCAUAUCCAGUGCCUCCUGCUCGAAUUAAAUCCAUGAUGCAUUUAUGCAUUGGAAUAAUUUAGAUAGAUAUUUGUAAACUCACACUUACCCAAAGUGGUACGGGGCCACCACCUCUUUCCUGUCUUGAAACUUUAUUAGUGAAUGUCCAAUGUAAAAGGCAUAUUUGGCUUCAAAAUCAAGUUUCAACUUUCGGAGUUUCUCAUCCCGUUCUACACCUUCCAAACCCUGUACCUCUGUGCUGUCAUUCCCGAUCCAGAAUGUGUGCCGAUCUUCGGCUAUAUCUAUUGGGCAGAGAUAGGUAUUCCUUUCUUCGGCACAAUAAUUUAGGUCCGAACCAAAAUACAUAUCUUGUUGAUCAUAUAACAUUCUGCAAGACAGAAGCAUGUCAGAUAUUGAAAUUUGAUGCAACUACAAUGUGUGUAACUAUGUAACACUUAUAAUGCAAAUGGCGUUACGAUCUGUACAUCUAGCAUCUCGUGGUUCAUCAGUGCCCACAUGUCAUCAAAUGUAAGCAUGCAUUUGUUAGUACUCUGGCUGAGAAAUGCUAUUUGUGGUAUGCGCAUGCUUAUGGUGUCGAUGCCAGUAGUAGAGGCUCUCAUGUACCAGUCAUGAAACCUUUUUAUACCACUUGGUUUCUUCAUAAGUUUGGUCCGACUGAGUAGAGGCUUUCCCCACACAUACUUUUUGGGGAUAGUCUUGUAGUCUUCUGCAGUUGGCAUGUUGAAAUUUAUAGGAGUUAUGACCUUAGGCGCCGGCACCUCUGACUUUGCUAGCUCAGAAAUCUCAUGCUCUUGUAUUGUGCGUUUCGAAGCAAUGCCUGACAAAAAUCUCACUUGCCCAGCUGAUUUUUUCUUUGGCUCGAAUGGUGAAAUCAACUUAGGUAUCAGAAAUACUUUCUUCUUUAGCACCUUUGGUGGCUCACUUACUGGUUCUGGAUCUUUGAGUUGUGGGGAAGGGGUGGAAUUGAAUGGUGGUGCAGAUUGUGUUGACUGUGGGGUAGAAAGAUCAUGGAGAGGAGAUGGUUGAUGGACAGGGAAAACAUGGAGAGGUGAUUCUGGUGGGUCAGGAAGAGACUGGGGAGGUGAAGGCGGUGGGUUAGGAAGAGGAUCGACAUGAGCUGAUGACUCUUGGGUUAGUGGCAUCUCUUGAGAGGGUGGUGGUGGCUCCCUUAGUUGCACGUCCCUCCGAGGCCAUAGGAUGAAAUUGUUUAUCGCCUGUCCCAGUUUCACAAUGUCCUCGGGACCAGGGAUGUCUAGAAUCUCGUCCUCAUAUCCUUGGACCACGGUUGAUACCUCUACUCUACAGUAGUCUUUAGGGAUGUCAGCACCAUGGUAUUUAGGUCCUCCUGGGAUCCCUUUGCCCGUGGCUACUUCCCUUGUACGAUGAUUGUUAAUCCCAUAUCUUAUGACAAGGGAGCAAGGUGUAGAACUAACAAUGUCGUCAACUGGAUAGUGAUCCUUAUUUGCCGUAGAUGCGACACUGCUUGGAAUGAUUGUUUCACUUGAUGCCACCAAUGGUUGCGACACCACUGGGACUAGCUGCAUUUGGGGAGCUUGAGUGCUCAUUUGGGUAGCUGCAUUUGACAUGGUACUCGCUAGUUUCUGCAUCAACUCAGGAGGAGGAUUUUCUAGCAACUUCCCCAUCAUCUCUUGGAAGUCUUAGCCUCUUCCUGAAAAUAAUUUGCCAUUUGUUCCUUGUACCGAUCACGUUUCUUAUACUCAUUUGCCCAUUGAGGGCCGAAUCCAUCCUUCUUUGGAUGAGAUGCCUCAAACAUGGCCAGGAUGCUCGGGGUUACCGAUGCCAACACUAAGGAUGUCCCUCUCCCUUCGUGGCGUAAACUUGCCUUCCUGCUGCAUGCCUGCCACAGCAAAGACGCUCUUCAUUGCUUCAUCAAGCAUUGGGUCUUCAAAGGACACACCCGUCUCGGUUUCCUUUGGUUUCCGAGCACGGAUCCAAUUCGCGGACCUUUCACCGAUCUUCUCGGACAACACUGGUGUUGACACUUGCUAACACCACUCGAAUACUAGGUUGUCAUCCCCAGCAUGGCACUAGAGUGUACUAUGGUAUUUAUACGCACACAGAUAAUCCGCAAGCGCACGGAUACCGUUGAAGCUUUUUACCCGGUUAAAGGUUUUAUCGUAUCCACAGGGAAACGGGAGAACUGAUCUACGCUCUAACUUAACCAAGAUAAGUAAAUAGGUGUAAAUAGGAAAGAUGGUAGAAUCGAAUAAGACAAUAUUAAAGGUAAGAUAACAGUGAGUGAUAAUAUGGGAAUAGAGAGUAGAGCAAUUCUAGUAUAUGGGCGAUGGUAGCAGAAUGGAGAGGAUAACUAUGGUUUCUCUACUUCAAAGGGGUAUGUCUAUGUCUGGGACGAACCACGUGAUAAGAGUACACCACAAAGGAUGCUUAUCCAUAGGCCAAUAAACCCUACCCGUCCUGCUAACGAGAGGUGGACUACAGAGGACCAACGUAACUGUCAAUUACGCGGCCUACCACACGAUCCAGCUAGACAGGGGAUAUCCACAAGUAAUCUAGGUCUAAGCACCACGCUUACACCUAUACUACAACUCUAAGCUAUAGGGUCCUAUAGAUUUGAAGUACUCAAAAGAGUUGUGAACCAGAACAUACAUGAUUAGUAAUUGCAUAACGAAUUAGAAGUAGAUUACCAGAGUUAUCCCAUGAGCAAGCUUGAUUAGAGCUUGAUCAUGACGAAGUACAACCUGAGGAAGAACCAACAGGCCGGCCUCUCCUCUAAUCCUCCUUCGCUCUCCAUCUCGCUACUAUCUAGAUCUACUCUAGUUUAGAGAAGAGAGGAGAGCUUUCAUCUCUAAACCCUAGCUUUUGCUCUAUCUAGGAAUACUGAAUAAUGAUCAAGGGGUGCCUCCUCCAGGGGCCAGGGGGUCUGGUUUUAUAGUCCCCUCAAGUGAACCUACGCCGUUGGAUCAAACCGACAUUGAUUGAACGGUUAUCCUUGAUCCUUUAGGUCGGUGGAACAUCAUCCCGAAAGAGAGUCCUGAUCCAACUCUGUAGCUAGGCGGGCGCCCAAGGGGGGAGGGCGGGCGCCCUGCCCCCGAGCCCGCUCGGCCUCCCGUUCGUUCCCGUGGCUUCUGGAGUCUUCUAGAUGAUAGAAAAUUGCGCGGCACGUUAAUAUCUCUAUGUAAACCCGACGUGUGGGCCUUUCUUCCGUAUUUCCUGAUAACCCCCUGCAGAAAUAGACAAACACCAAAACUCAUGGAAUUCUGUCAGAUAAAACCCUAAGUUUAGAUGUUGGUUGUAUUUGGAUCCUUUUCUUUGUUUAUUUGCUGAUUAUAUUUGGUACUUAAGGACCGUCAACAACUCCCCCAAGCUUACCUCUUGCUCGUCCCUGAGCAACGAUGGACUCAAGUGUUUCUGCAGUGGUUUUAUGCCUUAAAGGUACUCAUGCGUUCAAACAAGAUCUCAUCUCUAGGUUAAGGUAAACUGUUAAGAUUUAAACUCACUCAUAUUACCUUUCACCAUGGGGCUUGCAACCGUCACUUGUGUCUUGAGCAGUUAAAAGAUAGAACGGUCAAGUCAAGCACCAUAUCUCUUGUUCUUUGAUCAACUAUAACUCUGAAGUUUUUUUUGCAGAUUUUCAAAUAAAACUCAGAGAUUCCUUGUAUGACUCUCUCAAUUCUCUCUUUUGUGGUAUUUCUGGAUCCUUACCAAGGCAGUGAUAAUAUAGGCCUUCUCUAAAAGUAUGUAGUAUUUGUGGUAUGUGGCAUAGUGAUAUUGCCUUCUCUCUCACCCUACUCUAAUAAGGUUUGAUAUCUAGAGCUCAUAGGUGGGAGACAGCUAAUAUAUACUUACAAGACAUUUAUUGCAUAGUCAAACCAUGGAUCCAGAGAAACAAGUCAAUAAUUCAAAUCAAGAUGUGCAUGUGUGGCGAAUGAAUGGUGUAUGGUGAUAAUGGUGAUAAUGAUGAAAAUAAUGGUGAAAGUCUAAUUCUACGUUUGCUCUUUUGAGGGGAUACAUACCUUUCUUGCACUUUGAAGGUUUUUGAGAGGAAUGAGAUGCUCUAUAUUUUCUUUUUCUUUUCUCUCAGGUGGGUAUCUUGUACCCCUAAUUCUACUAUCGGACACUUGUCCAUUUUUACCUCUCGUCUGACUUUUUCUUUUCUUUCGAGGUUCCGGGCACUUGCCCCUUUUUAUUUCCUCGUAUUCACUUUUUUUUUCAGAGCACUCACCCUCCUAGAAUAAUGUAGCAAGUGGUAGUAACCAAAAUAUCUCGAGCAUUUAUUACACGGAGAAUAACAGGGAUAGGAUAAUGUUUUUGGCUAUUCUCUCCUGGAUAGGAGUAGAAUAAUUUUAGGUGAAUCUGGAGAUGGAAAGGAGUGGAUGUAUGUGGAUGCGUACUUCUGGAGUAGAAGCAGCAUGUAUAAGUGAACGUGCAAGUGAAUCUUGAUUUUAUCCGCAUGACAAGCUCCUAAGGGCCUACACAGCUUGACCACACUCAAUGCUCAUAAGCAGUAAAAAGUAAAUGUAUGGUUCAUAGUCUAAUAAGCAUGUAUAUACGGCUGUGGUAGGAUUUUAAACUCUCAUCAUACAGGAACUCAUCAUGCAACAUUUUAAAGAUUUUCAAAGAUAAAAUUCUCCAGAAUUCUAGCAUCUCUAGGAACAGAUAAACAGCAACUCAACCUUCCCAUAUCAUAUCCGUUAACGACUUAGACUUUAGAUCAAGUACUCUUCCCACAAGUUCAGGUUUAGAGCAAAUCUUAAUUCAUAACAGUCAUGCCUAAACUUGAGAGAGAUUUCAAUUUUGAGAACUAGUCAUGGCAGAGCAACUAUUCAUCAUUCCUAUGUGAGAGCUUAUCAUGAGGGUUCAUAGCAAACUUUAUUUAUUUAUUUAUUUAGCAAACUAAGCAUAGAUAUAUAUAUAUAUAUAUAAGUAAGCAUAAAAUCUUUAUUUGGGUUUUUAUGAUUAUGCAUCUUUUUAUUAUUUGAGUAAAGUAUAAAUGCGAGUAGAAACACUUAGCUGGAUAAAUGGGGUGCUCUCCCCCAAACUGGAUUUUGACGUAAUUUCUUCUAAUGUAGCUAGCAGGUGAUGGAGGUGUAUUUGAAUGUCGGCAGCACCCUCACAGCGAUUAGGAUGUCCUCCGUCUGCUAGUCUUCUUUGAUCCUUGAAUUCUGUGGAGCUCAAAUAGACAACAAAGCUUUGUGGAACUAGUUAAGUGUUAGUAUAAAUAUCUAGCAUUUAUCAUAUUGAGCCUCCUUAAUAAAUGUUACUCUCUUUGGUAGGAUCAUAAAUUUAUUUUUAUAUUUUCAUUUUUAUAGGACAGGAAUAUAUUUAUUUUAUUUUUACACCACCACAGUGAAUGUACUUAUGGGUUUUAUGCCACGAGCAUACUCAUAUGGGGGCUUAGUAUUUUUUAACAUUUUUAUUUUCUUUUCAAGAUAGCAGGAUUAACUAAUAAUCUAUUUAAGGAUAGUAAAUAAUUAAAGGGAAAAGGGAAUGCAGAAAGGAUAAAUAUGGAUAACUACCGAUUUUACCUUUCGGCGAGGAUUCAAUGUUUUAAGUCUUCUGAACAAGACUUCUCACCGUGUUCAUUGUUCAGGUGCGUCAUUUGAUCACUACACCACAACCUUCAAACAACGAUGGACAAUCUGUUGCUGAAAGGGCUUCUACCAACUUUUGUAGGGCUCGAAGGUCAUCACUAGGCUGCACAUCAGGACUGUCAUCUUCAAAAUCCCCUCCAUCAUCUAGACCACCAGCUAGGUCCCUAAGCAAUUCAGAUAUUUCAUCAUCUUCAACCUCUUCAAUAGGGACAACACCAUCACUAUUCCCAGGAUUCACAUCAGAUGAACUAGCUUCUCCAUGGAAGUUCCAUGUUGUGUACCCCUUUAAAAACCCAUCACAUAUCAAGUGUUCACGUAUAUCACAUGCCUCUCUCCAAAAUGAGUUAGCACACUUUUUGCAAGGGCAUAAUAUCUUGUUUCCUAUCGUUGAAUUUUUAAAUGCAUAAGCUAUAAAACCAUUGACACCUUGUAUAUAUGCCUUUGUGUGCCUACAUGGGAUUCAUUAUGUUAAAUUCUAUGUCAACUAAUUAAAUCUAAGCAGUUAAGAAAUAGUUCUUGUGUGUACCUAGGCUCAUUCUCAAUCCAUGUUUUAUCCAUAGACCUUUGUGGGGGGAGCAAGAGGCUUUCUUUAUAUAUAUAUUUCCACACUAAAACAUCACACAUCAAUACAAAACCACAAGACAGAUGUAGCUUAGAACAAGGCAAUCAGGCAGUCAUGAACGAGAACUAGAUAAAUAAAACCUUACCGUUUCACAGAAGCUCCCACAACCAACAACUUCGCAGCAAUGAAGGCCAGCUGCUAUGAUUGUUCAAGAAAAUUAGAAAUCCUUGCAAGAUAUUCACCACCUCCUUUACUCAAAAAAAAGUAAGGCAAAAUAAAAUGCCAAUUUAUAGCAAUAUUCAAAGUGUAGGACACAAGUAAAUGAUCAGAGAAGUCAUGCUGAUGUUUACCUCUUCAAUAAUCCCUUCAAUAUAUGUUGCUGAUGCACAAACAGGAUAACCCUACAAGGUACGUUAUUAGUUAUUAGUACGUAACAAAAUAAUAAUAAUUCUUCUGUACAGACUACUAACUUGAGCAUAUAUUCAUUAAGAUUAAACAAGCUGCUUCAACAAAGAACAAUCAACAAUAGAACUUAAUAAGAUUAAAGGGAUUAUUAACCAUUCUUGACUGUUAGCCUAAGUUGGACUUCAUAAUCAAAAUCAAAUCCCAAAAUCCCUCUCAUCCCUCUCUUGAGCAUAUAUUCUUGACUGUUAGCCUAAGUUGGACCCCAUCUCCCUCUCUUCGUCCUCGUCCUUCUAAUCAUCUCCACUCCAAUCCCACGCGCUUCGGCGCUCCGCGUCCCGCUCCGCCAGGCAGCCACCCUCGUCUCCCUCUCCCAUUCGCUCCUCUCCCGUGUCGCCGCCACACAUGCCGCCCGUGGGGACGCCGCAGCGGCCGCACGCGCCCGGCGAAUCGCUUCCCUGCUGUCGUCUCGUGGCGCGUGGGGGCUCGGCUGGGAUGCGGCCUCUCUGCGCGGCCUCUCCUACGCGGCCGCGGCCUCUCGUCUCAUCGCCGCUGCCGCGGAGGCCUCGCCCCUACGUAUGUUCCGCCGCUGACGCUGUGCAGUGAGAGCUAAGGACUUACAGGGUUGACGCAGAGGAGUAGACGCAGGGAUGGGCGUUGGGGGCGCAGUGGAUGGGGCGUCUCCCGCGGUGGAGCGCAGCCUCUCCUGCGCGGCCUCUCCCGCGGUGGAGCGCAGCCUCUCCGGCCAAACGAGCAGGGGCGGCGUGGUGGAUGGGGCGUCGGUAGGGGCGUUGAGGGCGCGGUGGAUGCGGGCGGCGGUGGGGGCGCGUUGGCGCGGUUGAGACCGUCAAGCGUCGGUGGAUCGAUGCGGACCGCAGCAGACGCAGGGGCGGUGGGUGGAUGGGUGGGCGAGAGGGUUUGCAUUAGGGUUUAGGUCAUUAUGGGCCAAAAUUUUCGCGGGACGGGCCGAAAACUUUGCACCACUGGAUAUUUUAUUUCGCGACGGACGGUCCGAUUCAGUUGAUGACAUAUAGCGACAGACGAUCCAACGUAAAUUUAGAAUAAUUAUAGCAACAGACCGUCCAUUGAAGUAUUGAAAUUUAGCAACGGAUGCUCUGUGGGGAUCCUUUAGCAACAGACCGUUCAAUGCUAAUAUUUAUCUUUAGCAACACACUUCUGAUGCUAUUUAAGUGUUGUGGUGUAGUGGAUUCAGGUGUGGACCUUGACGUCUGCACCUCUUAAUACGGUGUCACCCAUGUUCUUCGUUUGCCCAGUAGUUCGAAGUGCGGUGUUGGCAGUAUCUUGCUCAGUGUGUUUGUGCUCGUAGUGUACCUACUCAUAGAGACAAGGCAGAGAUCAAGUGUAUGGGCCCUGUUGGUGGAAAACACCAACAGAACCAAAAGUGUAUUUGUUCUUCUCUAACCUUAAGCAUGGUGAGCAAGACAAAGUUGAUGAAUGAUAAGUUCAUGAGUGUAGCAUUUAAAACAUUUGUCGGAUCAGAUCGCUCAACCUAAUGGAAAGAUAAUCUAUCUAUAUAUAUGCCUUUUUCUUUAUAUCUUCCCAAAGAUUAAAUGUGCAACAUUUUAGCUCAUAUGGUUAGGAGUGUGGGAUCAUGGAGGUAGUACUAGGAACAAAGAUUAAAGGACUAAACAUGCUGAAUCAGUUGGGUUGGUUAAUUUGGAGUUAUAAAUCAUACAUGUUUGUCUGUUUUAUUCAUAUGAACGUCAGAACCAAGGAAAAGCUUAUAAAAGUGAUAGUCAAGUACCUUAAGUGUUGCCUUAAUUUAAGAGUGAUGGUACAGUCUCACCUUGUGGAAGCUUCCCAUUCGUAGUGGUUGUGUAUCUUGUUUAUGUACUUUGUCUCCUUCCAUGGAUCAUCUUUGUAUGAUGAAUGAGCUAUGUCCUUCUUGUGCAAAUUGUUAAACUUCAUGUGUCACUCUCUUCAUCUCCGAUGUGAGUUUAUCUCAGGACUUCCCAGGUUGAUAUUGAAAGUUUUCCUGUAGGGGUUAGUCCGAUAAAAUAUACCAAUAUCUACUCAAGCAGUUUUUAGUUCAGUAACCAAACUAGACUCCAUGUCUAAUCAGAUUAAGGAAGGCUAUUUAACCUAAGCACCAUGCUCAAUUUAAAUGCCAAUGGAAGUAUGUCGAGUACUUCCAAACCAACACUUGCAAGAAAAUAGACAAAGGUAGCAUGACAGCAUUUAUAGAGAUCUACUCAAGUGGAGAUAGAGUAGUGUGAUUAGUAUUUAACAAAUUGAGCAUGUCUCAAAGGUAGGGACAACCAACAUAGCAACAUGGCAAAGGAUGUUAAGUACUCCCCCAAGCUUGAAUUUUGCAAAAUUCAAGUUUGGAUGAAUUUAAUUCAAUGUUGUAUGAUGAUUGGUUGGACAUACCUUGUGCUUGUCAUUCAUCCGAUCUUCUUGCUCCAAUUCUGGAAAGGUUAGUGACAAGAAUACCCAAAGGAAUAUUUUUACAAUUAUCCUUAUAUGCUCAAUACACAAGGUAAUGUUGCAAAUAAUUAAAAGCUCAUGUUAUGAUCUGAUCAGUGCUUCUUUUAGGACACUAAGCUUGUCCUUGGGAAACCAUCAAUUUAUGUCGGCGAAGUGGUUUCCCUUCCAAUGCUGACCUAUAUCAAGAUCAACUCAACGAGAUCUACAAUAUUUAUUAUAGACAUAUGCAUCGACAACCGCCCUUUUAAAGUUUUUAUAAAUAGAAAGGAAGAGGGGGUUGGAGAUCUCAAAUGUGGUGAUGUUGGAGAGACCAAUAGAUUGGGAAGAUGUUGCAUUUGAGCAUGGAGUAAAUGAAGUGGCUAUGAAAUAAAUUCCAUACUCAUUAAUGUCAUCUUCGUCUCUAAUCUGAAUGUCCAGAGUUUCUCCUAGAUUGGUCUCAUUUAUGUCCUCUUCUAUAGUUGGAUGAAUCCCAUUUUCAAAGGGAGUCAAGAACUAACCAUUUGAAAUUGAGCCAAAGUCAGAAUCCAUUAAGGCUUCUUCCUUAUCCAUCCAUUCUACACAUUCUAGCCAUUUGGAACUUGUGAUCAGGAAAGGGGAGCUGAUAGAAUCUUCUAUAUAGCUUAGCUCUCCUUCUAUGGCAUUACUUGACAUGCCAUCCUUAUGGUCUUCAUGACUCCUAUGGUUUGGUCGUCUUGGUGAAUUGCUAGGAUCAUCAUGAGACUUAAAAGUAGAGGGAUAAGAGGGGUCUCUAAGGUCAAGGAUGGAUUUAGAACUUGUGAACAUGGAAGGGGAGCAGAUAGAGUCUUCUAUAUGGUUUAGCUCUCCUUCACUUGAUAUUUCAUCCUCCACUUCUUCAUAAUAGGAACCCGGACAUUCUCUAAGAGAAAUAUUAUUGCAAGGAUUUGAAUUAUCCUUGCUUGAAGGUCUCUUAUGGAACCAGAAGUCUAAACCAUCAGCAUUUGAAAGAUUUAAGGUCGGAAUUCCUUCCUCCCUUGGAGAAUUUUGGGAUAUUGAUGGUUUAGGAUCGAUAGCUAAAGUUUGGGAUUGAAGUGGUUGUGAUCUGGCUAUCGAAACUUCUUCUUCUUGUCUAGGAACUGGUUCUUUCUCUUUUUCAGGGAUAUAAAAGCUAGGAGACUUUCUGCUCAUUAAAUCAAUCAAAUUCCAAGCUUCACUAGCGGAUAGGUGGUGGAAAUAUCCUCCACAGGCCGCAUGAAGGGUUCGCUUAUUUUCCCUACUAAGGCCCUCAAAAAAGUGAAUUAGAAGAACUUCUUCUGGAAUAGAAAGCUUUGGGCCAGUGAGAGUAAGGUUAAUGAAGCGGUCCCAUGAUUUGCCAAGAGAUUCUUCUUCUAGUUGUCUAAAAGAAAUAAUCUCACGCCGAAGUUCAGCCACUUUGGAGAUUGGAAAAUAUUUAGAAAGAAAACUACUAUAUAACUCCUUCCAAUCUCCAUGAACACUCCUUACUUUGAGUUUGUACCAAUGUCUAGCUUUUCCUGUUAAAGAGAACGGAAAGAGCUACCAUUUAAGGGUCUCAUCGGACAUGCCUUCUAUGCGAAGGAGGUCAUAGACUCGAUAAAACUCUCUUAGGUGUGUAUAUGGGUUUUCCUCACCUUCUCCUGAGAAAGGUUGUUUUUGAACAAAUUCUAUGUAUUCGGGGUCUAUCUCAAAACUAGAUGCUAUGAUAGGCUUUGAAGAUUUUGGUGGUUCGAGACGUGUGCCCGUAGGUCUAUGAAAUUCAUAGAUAGACAUGUUUGAAUUCAUGAUAGACCAGAGAUCAAGGAUUAGAUAAGAAGAAAGAAUAGCAGAGAUAAGGCAAAAGAUAAAAGGAAAAGUAUAUUUUUUUUAUUUUUUUAUUUUUUUAGAAAAUGAUUAAGCUAGUUCGUAGUCAACUCAGCAACCGUUUCCCCGGCAACGGCGCCAAAAAUGCUUGUUGACACUUGCUAGCACCACUUGAAUACUAGGUUGUCAUCCCCAGCAUGGCACUAGAGUGUACUAUGGUAUUUAUACGCACACAGAUAAUCCGCAAGCGCACGGAUACCGUUGAAGCUUUUUACCCGGUUAAAGGUUUUAUCGUAUCCACAGGGAAACGGGAGAACUGAUCUACGCUCUAACUUAACCUAGAUAAGUAAAUAGGUGUAAAUAGGAAAGAUGGUAGAAUCGAAUAAGACAAUAUUAAAGGUAAGAUAACAAUGAGUGAUAAUAUGGGAAUAGAGAGUAGAGCAAUUCUAGUAUAUGGGCGAUGGUAGCAGAAUAGAGAGGAUAACUAUGGUUUCUCUACUUCAAAGGGGUAUGUCUAUGUCUGGGACGAACCACAUGAUAAGAGUACACCACAAAGGAUGCUUAUCCAUAGGCGAUAAACCCUACCCGUCCUGCUAACGAGAAGUGGACUACAGAGGACCAACGUAACUUUCACCUACGCGGCCUACCACACGAUCCAGCUAGACAGGGGAUAUCCACAAGUAAUCUAGGUCUAAGCACCACGCUUACACCUAUACUACAACUCUAAGCUAUAGGGUCCUAUAGAUUAGAAGUACUCAAAAGAGUUGUGAACCAGAACAUACAUGAUUAGUAAUUGCAUAAUGAAUUAGAAGUAGAUUACCAGAGUCAUCCCAUGAGCAAGCUUGAUUAGAGCUUGAUCAUGAUGAAGUACAACCGGAGGAAGAACCGACAGGCCGGCCUCUCCUCUAAUCCUCCUUCGCUCUCCAUCUCGCUACUAUCUAGAUCUACUCUAGUUUAGAGAACAGAGGAGAGCUCGCAUAUCUAAACCCUAGCUUUUGCUCUGUCUAUGAAUAAUGAAUAAUGAUCAAGGGGUGCCUCCUCCAAGGGCCAGGGGGUCUGGUUUUAUAGUCCCCUCAAGUGAACCUGGGCCGUUGGAUCAAACCGACAUUGAUUGAACGGUUAUCCUUGAUCCUUUAGGUCGGUGGAACAUCAUCCCGAAAGAGAGUCCUGAUCCAACUCUGUAGCUGGGCGGGCGCCCUACCCCCGAGCCCGCUCGGCCUCCCGUUCGUUCCCGUGGCUUCUAGAGUCUUCUAGAUGAUAGAAAAUUGCGCGGCACGUUAAUAUCUCUAUGUAAACCCGACGUGUGGGCCUUUCUUCUGUAUUUCCUGAUAACCCCCUGCAGAAAUAGACAAACACCAAAACUCAUGGAAUUCUGUCAGAUAAAACCCUAAGUUUAGAUGUUGGUUGUAUUUGGAUCUUUUUCUUUGUUUAUUUGCUGAUUAUAUUUGGUACUUAAGGACCGUCAACAACUGGCAACCCUACUGCCUUCUUCGCAGCCUCUUCUUGCAUCCAUUUAGGAACUUGGUGCCGGUAACCACCUGUGCCUAGAUGGUGGUGGUACUUGUUCCUCUUUGCGAGGUGGGAGUUGGCUUCGCUCCGAGCUAAGAAGUUAGGGUCAUUCCUCUGCUCUAGAAAAACAGCCCACUGCCCUUUAGUAAUAUUGUAUUUAGAUGUCGGAUCCAUCCCUGUCUUUGCAUACUUGACAUUCAUCUCCGACCUCCAAUUUUGGAAACUAACCGCACAUUGCUUCAUUGUAUAUGCCUUCACUAAAUCUUCUGGCACAUUCCUAGGAAACUAGAACCUGGUCUUAAUCUUAUCCCAAAUUUUGAUCUUGUGAUUAUUCGACACACCGGCCCAGUUCUUAACUGUGAUAUCAAGAAAGUCCCUCACACAGAAACCAAUUGCGUUCCUGUAUUUGGGUAGGGCCUCCUCUGGAGCUAGGGGCUGUCCGGUAGGGCUCACAUCUAUGAUGGCAUAUGUGUCAUCUGGAAAUUGGUUCAACCCUCUCUUGCCUCGUUUCAAACCUUGUCGCUUCAGUUUUCCUAGACUGACAUGGCCUCUCAGGGCUCGUCGUUGCUGUCGUCGGUUCCGGUGCGUCUUUGUGUGCCACUUCCUCCUGAGACAUCAUCUCUCUAAACUGAGACAUUGCCUCCUGAGUAUAGACAUGUUAAUCAUGGGCGUGUUUAUAUGUAGGAACUAUGAAUAGAAAUCAUUUAAUUACAUGAAAUCGUGAAUGUCUCUAAUUUACCUCAUCGGCUUCUGGAUUGUAAUCGGGGUCACGUGCCAAUUCACGACGAGUCUUCCUCACUUCUAGAGGCUCCAUGUCGUCGCUAGCUUCUUGUUCAUAGGAUGAACCUGAUGCUUCGCCCGUUUCUACUUGUUUCGUGACCUCACGAGCUUGUUCCAUAGGGUCAGUUGACCCUUCUACUUGCUCCGUGGGUUGGGACUACAGUGCUUCGUCCUUGUGCGGAGAACUCAUCGCAGAAAUCUAUGUAAUUUAUGCAUAAAAUUAAAUGAUUUACAUACACUAAUAUAUACACUAAUAUAUCAUACACUAAUAUAUACAUAAUAUAUCAUACACUAAUAUAUUAAAUGAUUUACAUAUACACUACUACCUAUAUAAACAGAUUAAAUUUACAUACACUAAUAUAUACACUAAUAUAUCAUACAUUAACAUAUACACUAAUAUAUCAUACACACAUAUAUUAAAUGAUUUACAAAGAGAUUAUAACAAAAAGAUAAAAUUAAAUUUACAUAUACACACUAAUACAUAUGCAACGGGAAAUAAUAACAAGUAUUUAUAAAAUAACAACUAUGAAUAAAAUCACAUGUAAAAGACAUAAUAAUAUUCCCUGAUUUUAUUUUUAUUUUUUCUGAUUUUUAUAAUUUUCUGCUGUUUUUUACGGUUUCAUUCAAUUUUUUCAUAAAAAAAUUGUUAAAUAAAAAAAAAUCCCAGCCCAACAGGCCCAGCAGCCGUCACUCCCUCUCCCUUCUCUCCCUCUCUCUGGCAGGUGGGCCCCACCUGUCGGGGUCAUCCCCUACCUCCAGCCGCCACCGCCACCGCACCGCCCCUUCCACCACCGCCUGCCCCGCACCAGCCCCAUCCUCUUCCACCAUCGCCACCGCGGCCAUCCCUUCCCCUUCCACCACCACCACCGCGGCCGCCCCCCUUCCCCGUCCGGCCAGCACCACCAUCGCGCCCCCACCACCACCGCCGCCACAUCGAGGAUGCGCAGGGAGAGAGAGAGAGCGCGCGAGCAGGAGAGGCUCUCACCGCGGGGCGGCGUCGGCGUCGAGGGCGGAGGAGACGGUCACCGCCCGACGGCGUCGAGGUCGGCAACAACGACGGCGAUGGCGGUGGAAAAUUUCGGCAGCGUGUCGGCUUAGUUUGAAUGAACAGGGCACCAGACAUAGAAAAUUUUCGGGCGGAGAAGACCUAGGGUUAUAUAGGCGNNNNNNNNNNNNNNNNNNNNNNNNNNNNNNNNNNNNNNNNNNNNNNNNNNNNNNNNNNNNNNNNNNNNNNNNNNNNNNNNNNNNNNNNNNNNNNNNNNNNUUAUUUAUGUAUUAAACAAGAUAUAUGGCACAUAUUCAAUUUAAAUCAUUUUAAAUAAAGCUGCAUACAAAAGUACCUCAAACAUGAAAUUUCAUAUUUUUAACAUGUGUCUCUGGUCAAGAGGAACACAACAAAAAUUUUUUCACUAAUUUAGGACAAAUAUUUUUGAAGAUAUGAUUUUUUGAAUCAUUUAAACAAUUUCUAAAGAUAUAUAUAAGAAAAACUUUAAAUAAACUGAAAAUCCAUUUGUACAGGCCAACCGCCUGUACUAAUAGCAUUUGUACAGGCGGUUGGCCUGUACAAAUGGAUUUUCAGUUUAUUUAAAGUUUUUCUUAUAUAUAUUUUUAGAAAUUGUUUAAAUGAUUCAAAAAAUCAUAUCUUCAAAAAUAUUUGUCCUAAAUUAGUGAAAAAAUUUUUGUUGUGUUCCUCUUGACCAGAGACACAUGUUAAAAAUAUGAAAUUUCAUGUUUGAGGUACUUUUGUAUGCAGCUUUAUUUAAAAUGAUUUAAAUUGAAUAUGUGCCAUAUAUCUUGUUUAAUACAUAAAUAAUUCUAGGAAUACCGGAAAAAUGUAAAUCCAAUUUUGUUAGCUUUAUUGUAGUGUGUAAAUGCUAUGAAAAAUAUAUUCCUUUGUGCAAUUUAUCAUUGACAAUAUAAAUGUGAGAAACCCAUAUGUUUGAGCAUAGUUCGGUGGAAUGAUUCUUAUAUGUUUGUGAAGCAUGUAUGUUAUGCCUAUCUCCAAAUGUCUUGAAAUUUUUUUGGCAAGCUUCUACACUCAAAUGAUAACCCCACACAAGAUCUUAGGAUUUUCUGGUCAUGCAAGCUAUUAUUACAAUUUUUUUUGUGCUAAAUGAGAUGAAAAAUGGUGGACUACACCUAAAUCCCACAAGGUUUUUCCACCAACCACAUGGAAGUUUUAUUUCCUAUGGUAUAUAAGACCCUGUGGAGAAGUUUGGCACCAUUUGGAGUCAUUUCAUGGGUACACUUAGUUCAAGCGCUAAUUAGUGGGUGACGUCGCACGGAAAUUCAAUUAAACCGGAUAAAGUAACAAACCACAUCAGAAAAAUCCCAAACUUGGUGGAUUGAACAUCAAUGGCACUAGUAACCCUUAGUAAAAGUUUGAGACCAAUACGACAUCAAUGGCACUAGUAACCCUUACAUGUAGAAAUAGAAAAGGGCACAUAGCAUAAGGUACACAUUUUAUCAUAAAUAGAUUACAUGGCAAAUGACAAAUAAAAUCUAGGCAACUACUAUUCUUCCUUGUCCAUCAUGACGCACCUAGGGCAACGAGCUCUGUGGAAUGCUUCGCUCAACAUUCCUUAUCUUUACUGGAUGGUCGUCUACAAAGAGAGACAUGUCACUGAACUGGUUAAAUUGAUCCAAGUCAGAUACACCAUCAACUCCGAUGACUUGUUGCUUUCCAGGGAAAACUAUGUGCUUUGGAUGGUCCGUAAUUUUCUUCUUAUCAUUAGGAGAGAGGACCUACUCAGCAUAGAAGACCUGUGCAGCACGGUUAGCCAUUAUCCAUGGAUCAUCUUUGUAGCCUACCUUGCUUAGAUCUAGAACUCUAAUCCCAUAGUUGUCCACUGUGACAUGUUUGUCUUCAACCCAUUGACACCGAAAUACAGGGAUCUGAAAUGUACCAUAGUCUAGUUCCCAUAUGUCCUCAACGAAGCCAAAGUAAGUUGUUUCCUCACCAGUUUCAGAGUCUAAGGCGUCGCAUCGAACACCACUAUUUUGUGCCAUGCUCUUUUGGUCUUUGGACUUGGUACAGAACGUGAAGCCACUAAUGUCAUAGGUUUGCCAAGUCAUGACCUGGCGUGAUGGCCCAGAUGCCAAGAUCUUGAUGGUGCGAUCCUCAAGUGUUUCCCCAUCUGGAAUGUCCUGCUCCCUUAGCCAUGAGGUAACUGAUUCUUAUGUUCCUUCAUUAUCCAUUCAUCUAUGUGCCCAUGAUUAUGUUUUUGAAGCUCUUCAAUGUGUAGAUUGAUCAAAGGCUCCAUUAUCGAGAGCUGAUGCAGGACGCUGUGAUGUGCUUCGAGGACUAAAUUGUAAUCUUUAGGGACGUAUGAUUUCUUUCCCAUCCUACCUCUUCAUUCAGCCUACCCUCGUGUCGUGACGGAGGCAAACCUAUUGCAACCUAGUCUUUUAGGACCCUAUUGCAUAAUGGACCUCCGGACUUAAUGGCCUCUUCGGUUAAGUACCCCUCUACCAUAGACGCCUCUGGACGAGCACGAGUUGAUACAUAGCCAUUUAGUAUUGACAUGAAGCGUUCAUACGUCCACAUCUCAUGCAAAUACAUGGGACCCAAUGCCUCUAUUUGUGAAACCAAGUGCACCACAAGGUGAACCAUCACAUCGAAGAAUGCUGGGGGAAACACAUCUCAAACUGUGAAACUGUCUCCACUGCGAAUUCCUUAAGAGACGCCAACUCAUCAUGUUCAAUCACCUUCUGUGAGAUCCUGUUGAAGAAGUAGAACAACCGUGUAACUGCAACCUUUAUCCACACUGGGUUUAUAGCCCUAAUGGCAAUAGGGAGAAAAGUAGUCAAUAUGACAUGACAAUCAUGUGAGUUGUAGUUGGUGAGUGUAAGGUCUUUCAUUGACAUAAUACUCCGUAUGCUAGAGCAGAAUCCAGAUGGGACUUUCAAUUUCUUCAACCACACACACAUCUCAUGUUUCUCUUCAUUGUUGAGGUUGUAGCUUGCUGCCGGGAGGUGGUACUUCCCAUUUUCUAGCCUAACAGGGUGAAGUUCUUUUUUUAUGCCUAACUGUUCCAUGUCCAAGCGUGAAUUUAAUCCUUCCUUUGUCUUGCCCUUCAUGUCCAACAAGGUGCCAAUUAUGCUUUCAAACAGGUUCUUCUGAACGUGGAUACCAUCGAUCGCGUGGCGGACGUCUAACUCUGGCCAGUAUUCCAAAUACUCGAAGAAAAUUGACUUCUUCUUGAAUGUAGCCCCUGGAGCUGGCUUGACAUUCUUUCUUGGUUUUCCAUCUUUUGUCUUCUUCCCAAAAACAAAUUUGAGUUUGCUAACUAUGCUGAAAACUCUUUGGCCUUUACUGUUACCUGAUGGGGCAGUAGUCUGUAGUUCACUAUUAUUGUCAAAGUACUUAUCCAUCUUUUUCAGCCGGUACCUGUGUCCUUUUGAUAAGAAGCGUCUGUGCCUCAUGUACACUAUCUUCUUAGAUGCAGUUAGGGACACGUAAGCGGUGUCAUCUAUGCAUACCACACAACCUAACUUUCCCUUGAACUGCCCCGAUAAUGUAAAGAGAGCUGGGUAGUCAUUGAUCGUAACAAAGAUAAUUGCUCUCAGUGUGAAUGAUUCUUUGCGGUACUCGUCGAAUAUUUGAACACAUGUUUCCCAUAGUAUCUUCAUGUCUUGCAUUAAGGGCUCCAAGAAAACAUCCAUAUCAACUCCAGGUUGUGUAGGUCCAGAGAUAAGGAUGGUUAGUAAAAGGUACUUUCGCUUCUGCAUCAACCAUGGAGGGAGGUUGUAGAUGGUGAGGAUCACUGGCCAUGUGCUGUGCUUGCUGCUCCUCUCAGCAAAUGGAUUCAUUCCGUCGGUACUCAGUAUGAACCUAACAUUCCUUAGUUCAUUAGCAAAGUCCUUGUGGUUUUCAUUGAAAUCUUUCCACUGCUGGCCAUCGACUGGGUGCCGAAGCUUCCCAUCGUCAUUGUGCUCAUCAGAAGCAUUCCAGCUCAUAAGUUGGGCAUCCUCUGGGUUAGCAAACAAGCACCUCAAUCGAUCGAUCACAAGAAGGUACCACAUCACCAAAGCAGGAAUCUUUUUCUGUGCAUAAUAGUCUACUUCUUCCUUCUCUUUGCCAGUGGGUUUUGAACUACUCUUCUGGGUCUUUUGUUGGGCCUUCUUUCGUUUUUUGCCCUUAGGCAUAGAGGCAACACACUCUUCCUCUAUGUAGUCUUUAUUUGUCUUGUACCUACUUGCACCACACUUGGGACAGCUGUCCAAGUCUCUAUAAUCAUCGCCUCGAUAUAGGAUACAAUGAUUUCUACAAGCGUGGAUCUUCUCAACACCCAUUGUGAGUGGGCUGAUUAGCUUCUUUGCAUAAUAUGUGUUAGCAGGCACAUUGUUAUCCUUAGGAAGCAUGUUUGCAAUAAUGCUUAAGAACGCAUCAAAGCCAGCAUCAGAAAGACCAUAUCUAGCUUUGCACACCAACAAUUUUAGCACAGACCGCAGCGUCGUGAACUCUUUGGUGCAACCCUUGGACUCGUCAUACAAAGGCUCUUCUGUUGCCUUCAUUAGGGCCUCCAUACCUUUCAUGAAGAACACUGAUGGAUCUUCCGCAUGACGACGCAACAUUGCCUCUAGAAAUUCUACAUCUUCCGCAGCCAUGUUAGUUUCGGUGCCAUCUUCAUUUUCUCCAAUAAAACCAUGAUUAGGAACAUUUGGCACAACAUGUUCAGUGGCUAGACCAUCGGUAUUAGGUUGUUGUGUCUCGUAUACGAACUCAAACCCGUCAACAAUUCCAGUUGUAAAAGGCGCAGAGCUACCCUCUCCAUGCUUUGUCCAAAUCAAGUAAUCUUUCAUAAAUCCUCGACGGACCAAAUGAGUAAGGAUUUGUUGAAUGUCAUCAGAUACAACAAGAUUUCUACAAUCCAUGCAUGGACAAUGUAUGUGCGUCUUUCUUGUUCUUGAAGCAUGGUUUUGAGCAGCAUCAAUAAACCUCUGGACCUCAGUUAUGUAUGAUGGAUCUAGUCUUGAUAAAUUAUACAUCCAAAAUGACCUCUCCAUUACUACUUGUAAAACACCAUUCAUAUGAUCUAAGGGUUUACAAAGGAUUUAUCUAGGGUUUAUUAGCUAGGGUUUAUGGUUAAGCUUGAGAUUAAAGGAAAAAACCUAAGUUACAUAAUUAAAAAAUAAUCUAAGUAUAGCAUAACUAUAUAAAUACAUCAUUAAUUAUAAAUAGAUAGAUGAUGUGGAAGGUGAUAAUAAAAAACCUAACUACCAUAUAAUUAAAAAAAAUCCACAACUAUCUCUCUACAUAAAUAUACAAAGAACACACCAUUGGUUUAAUCUUGUAAAAACUAGCUAAAUUGAGAAGCAAACAUGUUGAGAGACAUUAUCCAACCAUAUUAAGCAACCCCAUCUAACCAUAUCAACAAAUAAAGACAAGAAGCUAGCUAUUCUUCUCUCUCACUCAUAAAACAUACAUACAUGUUGAUAAAUAAAUUGAAAAAUUUAUAAAGAGAAAGACAUAAAUUAGAAAACCUAAGUAUAGCAUAACUAUAUAAAUACAACAUUCAUUAUAAAUAGAUAGAUGAUGUGGAAGGUGACAAUAAAAAACCUAACUAUCAUAUAAUUAAAAAAAAUCAACAAUUAUCUCUCUACAUAAAUAUACAAGAACACACCAUUGGUUUAAUCUUGUAAAAACUAGCUAAAUUGAGAAGCAAACAUGUUGAGAGACAUUAUCCAACCAUAUUAAACAACCCCAUCUAACCAUAUCAACAAAUCAAGACAAAAAGCUAGCUAUUCUUCUCUCUCACUCAUGGUGAAACCCUAGAUCCAAAAAGUGGCUCAAAUUGAGCUAGAAUGAGCAAAUUGAGGCAAUAGGGACAUAAACUAACCUCUUUUAGCAACCUCCUUCCUAGAAAUGAAGAUCAAAACCUCCCCCCUUGUAUUUUGAGAAAUCUGGAACUCCAAAAUCGCCCCCAAUGGAAGGUGGGUGCGAGAUACUGUGUUCUGGUCGGGGAGGAAGAAGGGGUAUUUAUACAGAGAUAACACAGGAGGUUGCUUAAGUCAACCGCCUGUGAUAAUCGUUUCCACAGGCGGCCGAAAAUCUCUGACACCGCCCGAUUUAUACCACAGGCGCAUCGUAACUGGAACCGCCUGUGGUAUAAAAAGGGGGCGCCAGCUAUGAGCCUCUUUCUACUAGUGGCUGCAGCUCCACAUUUUCCCAGAUGAACAUAUAUUGCUUAAAUUAAGUGGACAACUUCUUAAUAGAUACCACAUAGAAAACAACAGACAGGGGAGUCUUCUUUCAAUAAACCUGAUUUUUUCUUAAUCUAGACAGUAUUUAGAUUGCAAGUAUGUACAAAGUACCCAUCUGUAUUUUUAUCUAUGCUAAUCUGGAAGUGCUCAUUUGGUGGCACCAUGUUAGCAUUUCCUCUGUUUUUGUGCACACAAACAUGUACAAGUAUAUCUACACUCAUGUCAUCUACAUUAUUUUCAGACAAAGUUUAUCAGACCCUUAUUAGUCGCACGCAGGGGCGCGCGUUUCCUACUAGUUGGCUAACAAGGAGGUGAGCACUGAGCAUAAUUUGUAUUCAGACUGAAAUUGAUUCCAUAAUGUAAUCAUGUGUCGAGGUUGACGAGCUUCAACCUCAAAUAUAUGCUUAUUGAUCUCCUAGAUGAAAUUGCACACUUGGUAGAUUGAGUGAUAACAUGACCUAUUAUGCCUUGCUAUUCUUGAGUGUUUUUUGGAUUGAACUAUAAAAAAUAUCAUUGUUCGGUUGUUUUCAUGUGCAUUCCUAAGAUAAGCUCGUAGCGUUAUAUAGUAUUAUUAUUUUUGUAGAUAGAUUUGUUUCAUUAACUGUUAUAUGUUGACCAGGGAGCUUGGUUCUGUCCAAUAGAUAUGCAUGAACCUAGAGCUAACUCUAAUCUUUAUAUCUUUGACUAAUUUGGCUACAGAUUGCUUCUUUCAGAGUGGUUAAUAGUGUGGUCUGGAGGAUGUCUCAGUGAAGUGAAAAGCCUCAGUAAUGUUUAAGGGUAGCUACAACUCUUUUUGUUAGCUUGAUGAAUAUUCAAGAUGUUGAAAGGGCUAUGCUAUUUGUCAUUUUGGACAUGUGACUUAGAUGUAGCGUAAUGUAUAUUGC
rnacentral:lncRNA from 1 species